AUAGGGGAGCCGGAGGGAAACCGAGUCUUAACCGGGCGUUAAGUUGCAGGGUAUAGACCCGAAACCCGGUGAUCUAGCCAUGGGCAGGUUGAAGGUUGGGUAACACUAACUGGAGGACCGAACCGACUAAUGUUGAAAAAUUAGCGGAUGACCUGUGGCUGGGGGUGAAAGGCCAAUCAAACCGGGAGAUAGCUGGUUCUCCCCGAAAGCUAUUUAGGUAGCGCCUCGUGAACUCAUCUCCGGGGGUAGAGCACUGUUUCGGCUAGGGGGCCAUCCCGGCUUACCAACCCGAUGCAAACUGCGAAUACCGGAGAAUGUUAUCACGGGAGACACACGGCGGGUGCUAACGUCCGUCGUGAAGAGGGAAACAACCCAGACCGCCAGCUAAGGUCCCAAAGUCAUGGUUAAGUGGGAAACGAUGUGGGAAGGCCCAGACAGCCAGGAUGUUGGCUUAGAAGCAGCCAUCAUUUAAAGAAAGCGUAAUAGCUCACUGGUCGAGUCGGCCUGCGCGGAAGAUGUAACGGGGCUAAACCAUG
rnacentral:rRNA from 1 species